rnacentral:rRNA from 1 species
AGUGAACGCUGGCGGUAGGCCUAACACAUGCAAGUCGAACGGCAGCACAGUAAGAGCUUGCUCUUACGGGUGGCGAGUGGCGGACGGGUGAGGAAUACAUCGGAAUCUACUUUUUCGUGGGGGAUAACGUAGGGAAACUUACGCUCAUACCGCAUACGACCUACGGGUGAAAGCAUGGGAUCUUCGGACCUUGCGCGAUUGAAUGAGCCGAUGUCGGAUUAGCUAGUUGGCGGGGUAAAGGCCCACCAAGGCGACGAUCCGUAGCUGGGCUGAGAGGCUGAUCAGCCACACUGGAACUGAGACACGGUCCAGACUCCUACGGGAGGCAGCAGUGGGGAAUAUUGGACAAAGGGCGCAAGCCUGAUCCAGCCAUACCGCGUGGGUGAAGAAGGCCUUCGGGUUGUAAAGCCCUUUUGUUGGGAAAGAAAAGCAGCAGGUUAAUACCCCGCUGUUCUGACGGUACCCAAAGAAUAAGCACCGGCUAACUUCGUG